rnacentral:tRNA from 2 species
GGAGCGGUAGUUCAGUUGGUUAGAAUACCUGCCUGUCACUCAGGGGGUCGCGGGUUCGAGUCCCGUCCGUUCCGCCA